GAAAUGCGAUAAGUAAUGUGAAUUGCAGAAUUCAGUGAAUCAUCGAAUCUUUGAACGCACAUUGCGCCCGCCAGUAUUCUGGCGGGCAUGCCUGUCCGAGCGUCAUUUCAACCAUCAAGCCCCCGGGCUUGUGUUGGGGACCUGCGGCUGCCCGCAGGCCCUGAAAACCAGUGGCGGGCUCGCUGUCACACCGAGCGUAGUAGCAAUCACCUCGCUCAGGGCGUGCUGCGGGUUCCGGCCGUUAAACAGCCUUACAAAACCCAAGGUUGACCUCGGAUCAGGUAGGAAGACCCGCUGAAGAUAAGC
rnacentral:misc_RNA from 1 species